rnacentral:rRNA from 1 species
UGCCAGCCGCCGCGGUAACACGGGGGGCGCAAGCGUUAUCCGGAUUUAUUGGGUUUAAAGGGUGCGUAGGCGGAAUAAUAAGUCAGUGGUGAAAUCCUGCGGCUCAACCGUAGAACUGCCAUUGAUACUGUUAUUCUUGAAUAUAGUUGAGGUAGGCGGAAUGUGUAAUGUAGCGGUGAAAUGCUUAGAUAUUACACAGAACACCGAUUGCGAAGGCAGCUUGCUAAACUAUGAUUGACGCUGAGGCGCGAAGGCGUGGGUAGCGAACGGGAUUAGAUA